rnacentral:rRNA from 1 species
GACGAACGCUGGCGGCAUGCCUAAUACAUGCAAGACGAGCGAACAGAUGAAGUGCUUGCACUUCUGACGUUAGCGGCGAACGGGUGAGUAACACGUAAGGAAUCUACCUAUAAGCGGGGGAUAACAUUCGGAAACGGGUGCUAAUACCGCAUAAUAUCUUCUUCCGCAUGGAAGAAGAUUGAAAGACGGCUCUGCUGCCACUUAUAGAUGACCUUGCGGUGCAUUAGUUAGUUGGUGGGGUAAUGGCCUACCAAGACGAUGAUGCAUAGCCGACCUGAGAGGGUGAUCGGCCACAUUGGGACUGAGACACGGCCCAAACUCCUACGGGAGGCAGCAGUAGGGAAUCUUCCGCAAUGGGCGAAAGCCUGACGGAGCAAUGCCGCGUGAGUGGAGAAGGCCUUCGGGUCGUAAAACUCUGUUAUAAGAGAAGAACAAAUUGUAGAGUAACUGCUACAGUCUUGACGGUAUCUUAUCAGAAAGCCACGGCUAACUACGUGCCAGCCGCCGCGGUAA